CAGCGCGGGGCAACCUGGCGGCGAGCGGCGAACGGGUGAGUAACGCGUAGGAAUCUACCCAGUAGCGGGGGAUAGCCCGGGGAAACUCGGAUUAAUACCGCAUACGCCCUAAGGGGGAAAGCAGGGGAUCUUCGGACCUUGCACUAUUGGAAGAGCCUGCGUUGGAUUAGCUAGUUGGUAGGGUAAAGGCCUACCAAGGCGACGAUCCAUAGCUGGUCUGAGAGGAUGAUCAGCCACACCGGAACUGAGACACGGUCCGGACUCCUACGGGAGGCAGCAGUGGGGAAUAUUGGACAAUGGGGGCAACCCUGAUCCAGCCAUGCCGCGUGUGUGAAGAAGGCCUUCGGGUUGUAAAGCACUUUAAGUGGGGGGAAAGGCUCGGCAGCUAAUAUCUGCCGGGAUUGAUGCUACCCACAGAAUAAGCACCGGCUAACUCUGUGCCAGCAGCCGCGGUAACACAGAGGGUGCAAGCGUUAAUCGGAAUUACUGGGCGUAAAGCGCGCGUAGGCGGCUGAUUAAGUCGGAUGUGAAAUCCCCGGGCUCAACCUGGGAACUGCAUUCGAUACUGAUCGGCUAGAGUAUGAGAGAGGGAGGUAGAAUUCCACGUGUAGCGGUGAAAUGCGUAGAUAUGUGGAGGAAUACCGGUGGCGAAGGCGGCCUCCUGGCUUAAUACUGACGCUGAGGUGCGAAAGCGUGGGGAGCAAACAGGAUUANAUACCCUGGUAGUCCACGCUGUAAAC
rnacentral:rRNA from 1 species